AGGAAAUUUGAGGCCCCAGGGGCAAAAAUACAUAGAAAAUUGCCUACCCCCAAGGUCAUAAAAAAAAUAAUUUAACUUGUAAAUGCUAUGAUUUUAUGAUUUUAAAGUUCUUGAUAUAGAAAACAAUAACUAUGCUUGGAAGUUAUGCAAAAAUCAGAUGUUAGCAGUCAUCUCUACAACAUUUUAAGUAAAUUUAUAUCUCAGACUGGUAUCUGCAUACAUACAACUAUUGCAAAUAUGGCUUUGUUUGAACACUUCUAGUAUAUAUAGUAGCUAAAUUGUGUCAGAUAUAUGGUUAUAGAUGAUAUUGUUGUGACAAGAAUUCUAAAUUGACCAUUUGAGGCAGAAAAUGUGUUCUUUAAUUGACAAAUAGGCAUACAGUAAGAUGUGGACUGGAGAUAGAGGCUGGAUUGGAUACUUUAUAUAAUCUUGAAUGUUGUAAUGAUUGACUGCUAAACAUUACAUUUAUGAUAUUCUGAUAUGCUUUCAAUAUGUU
rnacentral:lncRNA from 1 species